rnacentral:rRNA from 1 species
UACGUAGGGUGCAAGCGUUAAUCGGAGUUACUGGGCGUAAAGCGUGCGCAGGCGGUGAUGUAAGACAGAUGUGGAAUCCCCGGGCUCAACUUGGGAACUGCAUUUGUGACUGCAUCGCUGGAGUGCGGCAGAGGGGGAUGGAAUUCCGCGUGUAGCAGUGAAAUGCGUAGAUAUGCGGAGGAACACCGAUGGCGAAGGCAAUCCCCUGGGCCUGCACUGACGCUCAUGCACGAAAGCGUGGGGAGCAAACAGG